AACGAACGCUGGCGGCAGGCCUAACACAUGCAAGUCGAGCGAUCCCUUCGGGUGCUGACGAGUGGCGAACGGGUGAGUAAUGCAUCGGAACGUGCCCAAUCGUGGGGGAUAACGUAGCGAAAGUUACGCUAAUACCGCAUAAGCCCUGAGGGGGAAAGUGGGGGACCGCAAGGCCUCACGCGAAUGGAGCGGCCGAUGUCAGAUUAGCUAGUUGGUGGGGUAAAGGCCCACCAAGGCGACGAUCUGUAGCGGGUCUGAGAGGAUGAUCCGCCACACUGGGACUGAGACACGGCCCAGACUCCUACGGGAGGCAGCAGUGGGGAAUUUUGGACAAUGGGCGCAAGCCUGAUCCAGCCAUGCCGCGUGAGUGAAGAAGGCCU
rnacentral:rRNA from 1 species